UGCAGGGCGUGGCCUCGGUGCGCGGCUGGGGCGGGGCCUCAAGGCUCCUGUCUUCUCCAGCGCCAGCCCCCUAGUCCGGCAAGUGGGCGUCGCCCGGCGACUGAGCUACUCAGAGUGGACCUUUCAGGCUCGGGGCGCAGGAAGCUGGGGACCCUCGUUAAGGUGCCCAUGCUCCCGCAGGUCUCAGCUUUCCCUAGAGGGCAGGACAAAAUGGCCAACACCCACAACUCUAAGGAGGAGAGGAUUAUUUUGGCUCACAGUUUUUAAAGGUUCCUGUCCAUGGCCACUGUCAGUACUGGCUCUGAUCCAGUCCAGCCGGUCCUGCCUUUUUGAGUCUUCUAAAUGGGUUACACGCUGACCCAAAAGUGUCAAGGGGCGAUUGGCCCGCUAGAGACAGAAGAGGAAGUAGAAAUAAAAGUGGUGGGCGGUGACUCCCUGUCUGUCAGACUUCCUGCCUGGGACCUAAGUGAAGCCUGCAGCCCCUUCCAGGCCCUGCUCAGUGGCACCACCAGCAGGACUCGAGAUUGGCUGCAAGGGAGACCAGAGUAUGACAGUCCAGGAACCUCCUGAAGCCAUUAAAAUGUCAUAGGACACUAUUUGAAUUUCUAAGUGUGACUUUUUUCCCAAC